GAGUUUGAUCCUGGCUCAGGACUAACGCUGGCGGCGUGCCUAACACAUGCAAGUCGAACGGACACCACUUUGUAGCAAUACAGAUGAAGUGUUAGUGGCAGACGGGUGAGUAACACGUAGUCAACCUGCCUUACCGUCCGGGAUAACUAGCCGAAAGGUUAGCUAAUACCUGAUACGAUCGUCGGGCGGCAUCGCUUGACGAUGAAAGCAGCAAUGCGCGGUUAGAGGGGGCUGCGGCCCAUUAGCUAGUUGGUGAGGUAAUGGCCCACCAAGGCAACGAUGGGUAGCUGGUCUGAGAGGACGACCAGCCACACUGGGACUGAGACACGGCCCAGACUCCUACGGGAGGCAGCAGUGAGGAAUUUUCCGCAAUGGGCGAAAGCCUGACGGAGCGACGCCGCGUGCACGAGGAAGGCCUUCGGGUCGUAAGUAGCUGUCGAGGGGGACGA
rnacentral:rRNA from 1 species